rnacentral:rRNA from 1 species
GUGGGGAAUAUUGGACAAUGGGCGCAAGCCUGAUCCAGCCAUGCCGCGUGAGUGAUGAAGGCCUUAGGGUUGUAAAGCUCUUUUGUCCGGGAAGAUAAUGACUGUACCGGAAGAAUAAGCCCCGGCUAACUUCGUGCCAGCAGCCGCGGUAAUACGAAGGGGGCUAGCGUUGUUCGGAAUCACUGGGCGUAAAGCGCACGUAGGCAGACCAUUAAGUCAGGGGUGAAAGCCUGGAGCUCAACUCCAGAACUGCCUUUGAUACUGAUGGUCUCGAGUAUGGAAGAGGUUGGUGGAACUGCGAGUGUAGAGGUGAAAUUCGUAGAUAUUCGCAAGAACACCGGUGGCGAAGGCGGCCAACUGGUCCAUUACUGACGCUGAGGUGCGAAAGCGUGGGGAGCAAACAGGAUUAGAAACCCUGGUAGUCC